rnacentral:lncRNA from 1 species
GUCACCAUGCUAUUAUAGCCACCAUGACAUCCACUGCUAUCAUGUCUUUGCUCAUCUCCCUCUUGCAAGCAUCCUCCUUUGGGAACCAUGGAUCUUCUCCUCAAGAAGAUCUCAAGCUGCUAGAAGAAAUGAAAGCUUGAGCUCCAACUUGGCAAGGCUCACAAGAAGCUCCACUAUGAUUUCCAACCAUCCGUUCCGAGCUCCUCGAUGAGCCCCACC